GUUAUUUCUCCGGCCCCAAGAUCAAGUGUAGUUUUUAUUCUUAUCAGUUUAAUAUUUGAUACGUCGUCUAUCUGAUGACAAUAUAUUAAAUGGAUUUUUGGCAUUAGGAAAUGGAAUAGGAGCUUGCUCCGUCCAUCCCACGCAUCGACCUGGUAUUGCAGUACCUCCAGGAAUGGUGUACCAAAA